GACGAACGCUGGCGGCGUGCUUAACACAUGCAAGUCGAGCGGUAAGGCCCUUCGGGGUACACGAGCGGCGAACGGGUGAGUAACACGUGGGUGAUCUACCCUGUACUUCGGGAUAAGCCUGGGAAACUGGGUCUAAUACCGGAUAUGACCUUCCGAUGCAUGUCGGUGGGUGGAAAGAUUUAUCGGUACAGGAUGGGCCCGCGGCCUAUCAGCUUGUUGGUGGGGUAAUGGCCUACCAAGGCGCCGACGGGUAGCCGGCCUGAGAGGGCGACCGGCCACACUGGGACUGAGACACGGCCCAGACUCCGACGGGAGGCAGCAGUGGGGAAUAUUGCACAAUGGGCGAAAGCCUGAUGCAGCGACGCCGCGUGAGGGAUGACGGCCUUCGGGUUGUAAACCUCUUUCGACAGGGACGAAGCGCAAGUGACGGUACCUGUAGAAGAAGCACCGGCCAGCUACGUGCCAGCAGCUGCUGUAAGAC
rnacentral:rRNA from 1 species